rnacentral:rRNA from 1 species
UGAGGAAUAUUGCACAAUGGAGGAAACGUACUGAUGCAGGCAACGCCGCGUGGAGGAUGACGCAUUUCGGUGUGUAAACUCCUUUUAUGAGUCAAGAAAAUGACGGUAGCUCAUGAAUAAGCACCGGCUAACUCCGUGCCAGCAGCCGCGGUAAUACGGAGGGUGCAAGCGUUAUUCGGAAUCACUGGGCGUAAAGGACGCGUAGGCGGGAAGCCAAGUCUGAUGUGAAAUCCUAUGGCUUAACCAUAGAACUGCAUUGGAAACUGGUUACCUAGAGUAUGGGAGGGGGAGAUGGAAUUAGUGGUGUAGGGGUAAAAUCCGUAGAUAUCACUAGGAAUACCGAAAGCGAAGGCGAUCUCCUGGAACAAUACUGACGCUAAGGCGUGAAAGCGUGGGGAGCAAACG